rnacentral:rRNA from 1 species
GAUUAGAUACCGUCGUAGUCUCAACUGUAAACUAUAUCAGCUAGGGGUUGACAAUUGGCUUUGUCAGAACCUUAAGAGAAAUCAAAGGAUUUGGGUUCCGGGGGUAGUAUGGUCGCAAGACUGAAACUUAAAGGAAUUGACGGAAGGGCACCACAAGAUGUAGAUCCUGUGGCUUAAUUUGACUCAACACUGAAAAAUUUACCAGGUCCAGACAUAGUUAAGAUUGACAGAUUGAAGUUCUUUCUUGAUUGUAUGGGUGGUGGUGCAUGGCCGUUCUUAGUUGGUGGAGUGAUUUGUCUGGUUAAUUCCGUUAACGAACGAGACUACUCUCCUUCUUAGAGGGAUUUGCUGCCGGAAGACGGUAGCAAUAACAGGUCUGUGAUGCCCUUAGAUGUUCUGGGCAGCGCACGGGCUACAAUAGGACAGUAAUUGAGCUUGGAAAUUUAUUUGGGAUCGCGAUUUGAAAUUUUUACGUGUAAACCAGGAAUACCUAGUAAGUUCAUGUCAUCAACGUGCUCUGAAUACGUCCCUGCCCUUUGUACACACCGCCCGUCGCUCCUACCGAUUGGAUGCGUUGGUGAGCAUAUUGGCUAGAUUAUCUAGAGGAAGGAGAAGUCGUAACAAGGUUUCCGUAGGUGAACCUGCAGAAGGAUCA